GCUGGAGAGCUCCAGCCUGGAAACCCCCCAGGCUGCAGGCCUCGUUAAAGGCCAAAGAAAGCUCCACACCCCUCCCCCCCAGCCAUGGAACUUUGAAGUGAAUCCACCUUGGCAAGCUGUGCGGAGACCCUGAUUGGCAGAGAGCAGGAGACAGACAAGCGGUCUCAGCCUAUAGGGCGUCGAGUAGAGGGAUGGCUUGAAGCACCUUGCUGAGAUUGCCCAAAGAGCUACACACUUCCAGUUUGAAGGGCCAAACUCUUUGCCAAGAAGACAGAUUUUCUCUCCAUGUCCUGAAGGAUUCUCAGACCACGUUACACUCUUUAGGAAUCUAGAC